AUCACAGCCUGCUCAGAAAGUCAUUGUGGAGCCUGGAAGCAUGCCUCUGCAAACAGAAAACCAUCUUCUAUGGGAAUUGCUUAUGCUGAAGAAGAAAUCCUUACAGUUUGUCACUAGCUGGUCCUACUGCGGUUCAUCUGUGUGCAGAUGCAGUUUCAUAGUGAUGUCCCCUCCUGUGUUCAUGGUGCUCCUGUGCCUGCAGAGACAUCAGCAAAGACAAAACUGCUACAGUGACACAGCUGGCAGUUGCAUCUGUAGAGGGGAGAGGACCAGUUUUCACUGGGGGAUUUGGGAGAAUGUCACUGCAGCAACAAAACAGCUUCUGAAAGAAACAGCAUGGAGCAUCUCGGGCUGGAGUUCUCAUUAG
rnacentral:lncRNA from 1 species